GAAAGUUAAGAAAUUGUUUCUUAACUUUUAAGUAAAAAAACUAAGAACUGAUUCUUAAAUAAAGAUUUUAAGAACCGGUUCUUAUUUUUUUUUAGUUAAAAGCUAAGAAACAGUUUCUUAACUUCC
rfam:Brassica napus, WGS project CCCW01000000 data, contig: 34482